rnacentral:tRNA from 1 species
AUAAAAAAAGCAAAAAAUUUUGCAUUUAAUUUCGACUUAAACUUUGAGAAUAACUUAACUCCUUAUAUU